AUUGAACGCUGGCGGCAGGCUUAACACAUGCAAGUCGAGCGGAGAUGAGGUGCUUGCACCUUAUCUUAGCGGCGGACGGGUGAGUAAUGCUUAGGAAUCUGCCUAUUAGUGGGGGACAACAUUCCGAAAGGAAUGCUAAUACCGCAUACGUCCUACGGGAGAAAGCAGGGGAUCCUCGGACCUUGCGCUAAUAGAUGAGCCUAAGUCGGAUUAGCUAGUUGGUGGGGUAAAGGCCUACCAAGGCGACGAUCUGCAGCGGGUCUGAGAGGAUGAUCCGCCACACUGGGACUGAGACACGGCCCAGACUCCUACGGGAGGCAGCAGUGGGGAAUAUUGGACAAUGGGGGGAACCCUGAUCCAGCCAUGCCGCGUGUGUGAAGAAGGCCUUAUGGUUGUAAAGCACUUUAAGCGAGGAGGAGGCUACUGAGACUAAUACUCUUGGAUAGUGGACGUUACUCGCAGAAUAAGCACCGGCUAACUCUGUGCCAGCAGCCGCCGCGGUAA
rnacentral:rRNA from 1 species